rnacentral:lncRNA from 1 species
UCCAUGUUUUAAUGAUUAGCAUAAAUAAGCUUAAGUUUACCAGGUUAGAAAAACAGAAAGAUUUCAAAAGAGGGUCAUUCAAACUCAUAAAUAAAGAAAAACUGACAACGCCAUGGCUAAACAAAAUCAAACAAACAAACAAUACUACACAAAACGCAACAUAGAAAGAUAAAGACGAGCCACAUAAAAAGCUGUUGGAUAGGGAUCUCAGAUGCUCGACAUGUUGCUCUUGCUAGCCGGUAAUUAGUCAAAUCGGUAGAUCAUAUUGGUGAAAAAGGAACGGGAUUGUAGCUACGACAUUAGGAACAUAUUCGAUGUAAUCAGUGAAAUGGAUAUUCAACCAAAUCGUGUUUGCGUCAGUAAAAUUGACGAAGG